CCAGCCAGGUCGGUGUGGCGAGGCAGUCAGUGUAAGCGCGAGGUGAGGCCAAGCGCUAGUGUGUGUGUGCGUGUCUCUCUGUCUGGGAUCGCUGCGGCGGCCUCUCGCGCUGGCUGUGGUUCCGCUGUCACGGUUGGCAGAAAGCGAAAUUGAUGAUGAAAGAGAGACGGAGAAGAACACAGUGAAGGGAAGAGUAAAGAAGAGCGAAACAGCAAGUAGUAAUAAGUUACAAGUGCAUAGACCUCAAGAAGAGAGAGAGAGAGAGAGAAGAUGAAUAAAAAGAAAUGAUUAAGGAAUUAAAACGUACAUAUGUAUGUAUCUAGAUAUCUAAAUAUGUAUAAAUUAUUGUGAGCGGAACGCACAAAACAGCAAUAAAGGAGGACAAGCCUGGAGGUGAUGAUAUAGAAGAAAAUUUUGUGUCCCUGGCUAGAACAUCGUGUGUGGGUGGGUGUUUAUGUGUACAUGUCGUUUACGGGCCGAGAAAAAUAGCCUCGAAUAAAUAAAUGCGAGUGUGAAUAAGUGCGAGAUACACUCACGUCGGACCUCGAGAGAGAGAGAGAGAGAGAGAGAGAGAGAGAGAGAGAGAGAGAGAGAGAGAGAGAGAGAGAGAGAGAGAGAGAGAGAGAGAGAGAGAGAGAGAGAGAGA